rnacentral:rRNA from 1 species
AUUGAACGCUGGCGGCAGGCCUAACACAUGCAAGUCGAACGAGUGGCGGACGGGUGAGUAAUGUCUGGGAAACUGCCUGAUGGAGGGGGAUAACUACUGGAAACGGUAGCUAAUACCGCAUACCAUCAGAUGUGCCCAGAUGGGAGUAGCUAGUUGGUGGGGUAACGGCUCACCAAGGCGAGGAUCCCUAGCUGGUCUGCGAGGAUGACCAGCCAAACGGGAAUUGGGAAACGGCCAAGACUCCUACGGGAGGGAGCAGGGGGAAAUAUUGCACAAUGGGCGCAAGCCUGAUGCAGCCAGGCCGCGUGUAUGAAGAAGGCCUUCGGGUUGUAAAGUACGUUCAGCGGGGAGGCGUUACCCGCAGAAGAAGCACCGGCUAACUCCGUGCCAGCAGCCGCGGUAAUUC